rnacentral:rRNA from 1 species
UGCAGUCGAACGGUAGCACAGAGAGCUUGCUCUCGGGUGACGAGUGGGGGAGAGGUGAGUAAUGUCUGGGAAACUGCCUGAUGAAGGGGGAUAACUACUGGAAACGGUUACUAUUACCGCACAACGUCCCAAGACCUGGAGGGGGACCUUCUGGCCUCUUGCCCUCUAUGUGCCCAUAUGGCAUUAUCUCUAAGUGGGGUAACGGCUCACCUACGCGACAAUCCCUAGCUGGUCUGACAAGAUGACCAUCCACACUGGAACUGAGACACGGUCCCACUCCCACACGAGGCGCACUGGGGAAUAUUGCACAAUGGGCGCAAGCCUGAUGCACCCAUGCCGCGUGUAUGAGAAAGCCUUCGGGUUUUAAAGUACUUUCAUCGGGGAGGAAGGUGUUGUGGUUAAUAACCCCAGUUGGUGAUGAUUACCCCCAGAAAAUACACCGGCUAACUCCGUGCCCCAGCCCCGGUAAUACGGAAGGUGCGCACGUGUUCGCAAUUACUGGGCGUAUAGCGCGUGCAUGCGGUGGUGUCAAGUCUCAUGUGAAAUCCCCGGGCUCUCCUGGGAA